AUGUAUAAUUAUUUGUGUAAAACUAACCAUGACUGUCUCAUCCUCUGGCUUCAGAACAGAAGUCCAAACUCUCGCGGUAUCUCAAUGUACGGUUGUUGUUGUUGUUUUAAGAAACAGAAGGGGGGGAAAAACACAACUUUUAUAGCGGAGCGCUUUCCACACACCCACCCCUUUCCACACACCCACCCCUUUCUACCCCCCCCCCCUUCUACACACCCCACCCUUUCCACACACCCACCCCUUUCCACACACCCACCCCUUUCCACACACCCACUCCUUUCAACACACCCACCCCUUUCUACCCCCCCCCUUCUACACACCCCACCCUUUCCACACACCCACCCCUUUCCACACCCCACCCUUUCCACACACCCACCCCUUUCCUUUCUACACACCCACCCCUUUCUACACACCCACCCCUUUCCACACACCCACCCCUUUCUACACACCCACCCCUUUCCUUUCUACACACCCACCCCUUUCUACACACCCACCCACCCCUUUCCUUUCUACACACCCACCCCUUUCUACACACCCACCCCUUUCUACACGCCCACCCCUUUCUACACGCCCACCCCUUUCUACACGCCCACCCCUUUCUACACGCCCACCCCUUUCCACACACCCACCCCUUUCCACACACCCACCCCUUUCCACACACCCACCCCUUUCUACACACCCACCCCUUUCCUUUCUACACACCCACCCCUUACUACACACCCACCCCUUUCUACACACCCACCCCUUUCCUUUCCACACACCCACCCCUUUCCACACACCCACCCCUUUCUACACACCCACUACUUUCUACACGCCCACCCCUUUCCACACACCCACCCCUUUCUACACGCCCACUUACUUUCCUUUCCACACACCCACCAUUUCCACACGCCCACUACUUUCCUUUCGAUAUGCCCACUACUUUCCUUUCCACACACCCACUACUUUCCUUUCCACACGCCCACUACUUUCCUUUCCACACGCCCACCCCUUUCCGCACGCCCACUACUUUCCUUUCCACACGCCCACUACUUUCCUUUCCACACGCCCACUACUUUCCUUUCCACACGCCCACUACUUUCCUUUCCACACGCCCACUACUUUCCUUUCCACACGCCCACUACUUUCCCUUCCACACGCCCACCCCUUUCCACACGCCCACUACUUUCCGUUCCACACGCCCACUACUUUCCGUUCCACACGCCCACUACUUUCCUUUCCACACGCCCACCCCUUUCCUUUCCACACGCCCACCCCUUUCCUUUCCACACGCCCACCCCUUUCCACAUGCCCACUACUUUCCUUUCCACACGCCCACUACUUUCCAUUCCACACGCCCACUACUUUCCUUUCUACACGCCCACUACUUUCCUUUCCACACGCCCACUACUUUCCUUUCUACACGCCCACUACUUCCUUUCCACACGCCCACUACUUUCCUUUCCACACGCCCACUACUUUCCUUUCUACACGCCCACUACUUUCCUUUCUACACGCCCACUACUUUCCUUUCUACACGCCCACUACUUUCCUUUCUACACGCCCACUACUUUCCUUUCUACACGCCCACUACUUUCCUUUCUACACGCCCACUACUUUCCUUUCUACACGCCCACUACUUUCCUUUCCACACGCCCACUGCUUUCCUUUCCACACGCCCACUACUUUCCUUUCCACACGCCCACUACUUUCCUUUCUACACGCCCACUACUUCCUUUCUACACGCCCACUACUUUCCUUUCCACACGCCCACUACUUUCCUUUCUACACGCCCACUACUUUCUACACGCCCACUACUUUCCACACGCCCACUACUUUCCUUUCUACACGCCCACUACUUUCCUUUCUACACGGCCACUACUUUCCUUUCCACACGCCCACUACUUUCCUUUCUACACGCCCACUACUUUCCUUUCCACACGCCCACUACUUUCCUUUCUACACGCCCACUACUUUCUACACGCCCACUACUUUCCACACGGCCACUACUUUCCUUUCCACACGCCCACUACUUUCCUUUCUACACGCCCACUACUUUCCUUUCUACGCGGCCACUUACUUUCCUUUCUACACGCCCACUACUUUCGACACGCCCACCCCUUUCCUUUAAACUGA
rnacentral:lncRNA from 1 species